rnacentral:rRNA from 1 species
UCAACGGCCGCGGUAUCCUAACCGUGCGAAGGUAGCGUAAUCACUUGUCCUUUAAAUGGGGACUAGUAUGAAUGGCAUCACGAGGGUUAUACUGUCUCCUUUUUCUAAUCAGUUAAACUAAUCUCCCCGUGAAGAGGCGGGGAUACACCUAUAAGACGAGAAGACCCUAUGGAGCUUUAAACAAAACAGCACUUGCUAUUUUAUAUACUAAUCUCAGGAAACUAACCCUUAUUUUAGCCUUCUGUCUGUCAGUUUUAGGUUGGGGUGACCGCGGAGUAAAAAAUAACCUCCACACUGGAAGGGACUUUCCCUAAGCAAAAAGUCACAACUUUAUGCAUCAAUAAAUUGACACCAAUUGACCCAAUAUUUUGAUCAACGAAACAAGUUACCCUAGGGAUAACAGCGCAAUCCACUUCGAGAGCCCUUAUCGACAAGUGGGUUUACGACCUCGAUGUUGGAUCAGGGUACCCCAGUGGUGCAGCCGCUACUAAAGGUUCGUUUGUUCAACGAUUAAAACCCUA